AAUUAGAGCCUUGGCAGAGCUCCAGUAUAGUCUAGGCCAGUACUUCUCAACCUUGACUGGGUGUGUGAAUCACCUGGGGGUGUAGCUGAUUCUUUAGGAGUGGGCUGGUGCCUGGGAUUCUACUCCUGAUCUGUGGACAACAGUUUGAGAUGCUAGGCAUUAAACUGAACUUCCAGGAUUGGCUCCCAAAAUUACAGCACAGAAUCGGGCCGCCUAAGGAGCUGCGGCCUCCCCUGCAACCAGGAAGCUGCGGUAUCUGACAUCUGCCACCAACAGCUGUUAGCAACAGAGCUAGCACUCCUGCAGUGACACCCACUGGCCAAGUAAAUGUCCACACACUCCACCUCUCUGCUCAGUGACUUAGAUCCAAAUCCAAAUCUUACCUGACUACAGCUGCUUGGUGGAUCCUAAGGCCACACCCUGAAUCUACCUGCAAAAGAUGCCUGGGAAACAUAUUUGCCAGCUCUUCAGUCUCAGCACGCUAGAGAGGGAUUGAAACAAGUGUUGAAUAAACCAAUUAGCAGUUAUGAGAACAGUGCCAGGAAAGUCACACUGCCUACCUUACUGAAGCCUGAAAGUCUACCAUUUGAAAAUAAUUUCUUAAAAUUAAGCACUGUUGGCCGGGUAUGGUGGCUCCCGCCAGUAAUCCCAGAACUUUGGGAGGCCGAGGCUGGUGGAUCACGAGGUCAAGAGA
rnacentral:lncRNA from 10 species